CGGCAGACCCCUGGGAGGAGGCGGCGCCGCGCGGCCCCGGAGCGCGACUGCGGCCCGGGUUUCGGUUGGGCCGCCGGGGACGCCUCUGCCGCCUUGCGGGCGGGCGUGCAGCCGGGAGGGCCGAGAGCUCCCGCGGCCCCGGCGGCGCCCGGAGGAUCUAAUCUGGGAUACCAUACUUAAACAUCCAGAUCUGUAUUGAAGGAGUGUUCAGGAAUGGAGGGAAAUGAAUAAGACAAGAUCACUUUCCAUUCUGCUGAAGAUGGAACAAAAUGCAUGAGGAUUCAGUAUAUGGCAAAUGGCUUUGGCCCCAGUAGCUCCCUGCUUCAUGGCUACCUCGAUGUCAGCGCCUGCCUCCCCUUGGUUGGCUACUUUAGAUGUUGGUAUCCCAAUCGGUGGUGGUGACCCACUGUGACAUAUGAUUGAUUCGGGUGCAGUCCUACAGUCUGGUGUCUGCUCUCAUAGCCCUGGGCCCCACUACCCGUUGUACUCAAGCUAUCCAGAAAUCACGUGCUCUAGGAACUCUGGAGGUCUACAGCAGCCAGAGUCCAUCUGGUCAACACAUGGAAUCAACUUGAAGAUGAAGCCAAGUGGAUAGGGAGUGAGGGCAGGGAGGUCCUACUCUAUACUAUAUCCAUUCUAAGAAAUCCUUGUGUGGGUAAAGCCGAGUAGAAGGACAGGUUUCUACCAGUCUCUAGGAAUUGGGCAGUGAGGUCUCUGACUCACUAUAGAACCAGUUGUCCUUGUCAAGAUGGGACAAUUUCUCCUAGGAAAUUUAUAGUGGAAGAGGACUGAUGAUAACAAAUAACCAGAUGGGACUACUUGAAGUUAUUUGCCUUUGGGCAAAUUCAAGUUUAGUGUACACCUGCCGGCUCUCUCUGAAGCCUUCCUGUGCACCACACUCCCCACCCUCCCAUUCCCUGCCUUCUGUCAGCUUGCAUUCCCAUUCACCUAGGGGGGAAAAAAAAAGUGAGGAAGAAAUAGGAAGACUGAAAUAGCAUCCAAAACCCAACAUAAUUAGUCUCCUUGUCUUUCUCACACAUCAGACUUUAGAAUGUUUGAAGGUAGGGCUGUGUCUCCCACUCCUGGAUCAUUAAGGUCUUACACAGCCCCAGAGCUUAGAAAGCAUGUCAGUGAAUCUGGAAGGGCCCAUAGAGAGAGAGAAGCCUUGCAGCAUUCAGCCUGAGAAGGUUAUUGGUUUGGAUGAAAGCACUGCCUCUCCAGCAUCCUUUUAAAAAAUGCAAAUACUCAGAGGAAACAUGAGGUACUGCCCUGCUGACCAGCAAUUCUUGUUUUUGGCAGCUAUCAGAACAAGGGAGAACUACAAACAUUGGCUUUUAGAGAAAAGUCUGAAGUGUGAUAGAAAGGGCACAAAUUUGGUUAACUAAUUUGGAAAACCAUUUGGCAUAUCUCCUAAAGUUGAACAUUACGCCUACGAUCCAACAAUUUGUUCCAAGGGAUGGACCCAAGGGAAACUCAUGCAGAUAUGCAAAAGGAGAUGUGCAAGAAUGUUCAUAGUUGCACUGACACAGUGUGAAAACCUGGAACAGCUCAAAUGCCCAUCAACAGGAGAGUGGAUGGAUGAAUUGUGAUCUAUUCAUGCAACUGAAUAUUAAUAUGGGCAGAGUCGGCUUCCGGGUGCUGGCAAUUCCCAGAGAGCGUGGGCUCUGAGUGACCAGGGCAGGUGUUCAGUAACCCCCUGUCCUAAGCAGGAGCAUCCGUGGUUUAGAUGGAGGCCAUCUGGUUGAGAAGCCACUGUCUGUGUCCUUACCAAGAGGCACUGCCAUUCAGAUGGCUGCACAAGGCAGAAAAUGGAGGGGUCGUCCUGGAUGCCUCCCUCUCGUUUUCUAAUUCUUUGAAUUGGUGGAACACUUAAAAGAGGGUGGAGGGUGCUUGCUGCUUGGCUGCCCAGAAGAAUUGUGGCUGUCACUGAUAAUCAUGACUGACCAUGAGCAAGGAAAGCCUGCCAGACCUUCCCUGGUUCCUAGACAAUGGACUUAAUGCUGAUUAAACUUGCCAAAUUUCCUAGUCACUGAAUUCUGGACUUAAAAAAACAAACAAACAAAAAAAACAACCCUAUAAAAACAAGAAACCAAACCAGAAACAAAAAUAAAGUAUUGAUUUCUUGAUGAA